rnacentral:lncRNA from 1 species
UCUUAUUGAUUUAUACGAUAUGCAAAAUUAGAACAACAUUUCUUCUGUUUUUUUAUUCUUUAUUUUUACGUCGUUAGCUUGUCGCCAACAACCAACUUAAUUCCCAAAACACUCUUAUAUUUCAUACAAUUUGUAAUAUAUCAUUAAGGAUAAUUUCGGAAAUAAAAAACGGUAAUUCGCCUUCACUCUUCUUCUAUAUAUAAUUAUCCACGUCGGCCUUCCACGGUUGAGCACAAAGAAAAAUAAAAAAAAUUAAAUAGAGUAUGUAAGAAAACCUUAAACUUUUUGUAAAUAAGAAACAACGAUUUCAAAAGUAUAAGAGUAUAAAGUGAUACAAAUAAAGAACAACGGUUUCAAGUAAUUUAGAAAUAAUGGUUUCAAACAAUUCAGAAACGUUGGUUGAAACUAUGUUAAGAACAAGGUAUCAACUAAAUCAGGAACAAACGAUUUCAACAUUUCAGGAACAUUGGUUGAAACCAUUUUAGAAACAUUGGUUGAGACCAUUUGAAGAACAACGGUUUCAAACAAUUAAGGAACAAUGAUUUCAAUCAAUUCAGAAGCGUUGGUUGAAAUCAUUUUAGAAACAACGGUAUCAACCAAUUCAGAAAACAACAGUUUCAACCAUUUUAGGAACAUUGGUUGAAACCAUUUGAAGAACAACAGUUUCAUAUAGUUCAAGAACAAUGGUUUCAACCUAUCAAAGAAUGUUGGUUGAAACCACGGUAUCGACCAAUUAAGAAACAACGGUUUCAACAUUUCUAAGACAUUGGUUGAAGGCAUUUGAGGAACAAGAGGUGUCAACCGAUUGAGAAACAACCGGUUCACCUAUUUGAGGAACAAUGAUUUCAACGGUUUCAGGAACAUGUAUUUUUACCUCAGGAAUAUUUAUUUCAUCAAGUACAUAAACUAUUUUAUCAAACAAAAUUUAACCAAGAGGAUCAGAUUGAACAACGAUUCCUUAAAUUGAGAAGACGGUAAUAGAUUUGCAGAUGAAAAUAUAGAGAGUCAUACAUGACAAAAAAAUGAAUAUGAAGAAGAGAGUCACAUACCGACAGGGAGGUGAAAGUUGAAAAAAAUAGGUGAAAGUUAAAGAAAAUAGGUGAAAGUCGCAAUGGGUUGCAGCAACUUCGGCGAGAUGAAAAAAGAAAAAAAAAAAUGAAGACGUGUACAUGGUAGGUUGAAGGUAUGAAAAAAAGUAUGGAAAAAAAUUUGGAUAUAAAGUACAACUUUUAAAAAGAUUGUUGAAUGAUUAUUUUAGAAGAAAGAGUGGAUGUGUUCCCGGCGAGAUGAAUGAUUAUUGAAAAAAGAUUAGAUGUGUUUCCGGUGAGAUGAAUGAUACAAAACGUAAAUGGGUUUCCCCACGAGUUGAAAAAAAAGGGAAGAGGUGUAUGAAGAAAAAUGGGUGGAGGUGAGAGUAC